UACGUAGGGCGCAAGCGUUGUCCGGAAUUACUGGGCGUAAAGCGUGCGUAGACGGUUAUUUAAGUCGGGUGUGAAAGCCCCGGGCUCAACCUGGGAAUUGCAUUCGAGACUGAAUAGCUAGGGUACGGUAGAGGGAAGUGGAAUUUCCGGUGUAGCGGUGAAAUGCGUAGAUAUCAGGAGGAACACCGAUGGCGAAGGCAGAUCUCUGGGCCGUAACUGACGCUGGAGGAGCGAAAGCGUGGGGAGCGAACAGG
rnacentral:rRNA from 1 species